rnacentral:rRNA from 1 species
UACGUAGGGUGCGAGCGUUGUCCGGAAUUACUGGGCGUAAAGAGCUCGUAGGUGGUUUGUCGCGUUGUUCGUGAAAACUCACAGCUUAACUGUGGGCGUGCGGGCGAUACGGGCGGGCUGGAGUUCGGUAGGGGAGACUGGAAUCCUGGUGUAGCGGUGAAAUGCGCAGAUAUCAGGAGGAACACCGGUGGCGAAGGCGGGUCUCUGGGCCUUGCCUGACGCUGGAGGCGCGAAAGCUAGGGGAGCGAACAGG